UCCUACGGGAGGCAGCAGUGGGGAAUUUUGCGCAAUGGGGGAAACCCUGACGCAGCAACGCCGCGUGGAGGAUGAAGGUCUUCGGAUUGUAAACUCCUGUUGCCCGGGACGAUGAUGACGGUAGCGUGAGAAGAAGCCCCGGCUAACUUCGUGCCAGCAGCCGCGGUA
rnacentral:rRNA from 1 species